rnacentral:antisense_RNA from 1 species
GUCACAUCUCCCAAGAAGCAGUAAUGUUCCAGCAAUAAGAAAAGGACAGUUUUUUGUCUUUUGCAUGGUGAGCCUUAUAUGAAUUACAUCAAUUUUGUCACCAAUAUCCAUCAUCAGAACAUUUUGAUUCUACAUAACACAUUGCAAAUGGUCACAACAAUCAAGACUAUAUCCAUAGAUGUCCCAGAAAUAAUACCUGACUAUACAGAGCAGCAUUACCAAGCCACCAAGAAGUCUGCCUAGUAAUGACAAUGAUAACAACAGCUAACACUUAGGAUUUGAUUUAGGACAAAUUGUUAUUUGGAUGGAUGCUUGUCUAUUGAGAGAGUAAUUGUUAAACUAAAGGAAACUGGUCACAAAUACUUUAGCAAUGGCUAUAAAUGACCAGUGGGCCAAGGAUUUUGAGAUCGUGAGAGACUUCUCCAGGAAUGUUGUCAUUCAUUUCACUCCAGUGUGGCUCUUUUCCUCCAUCUGCGCUCACUUUUCUAGGAGAACUAUGGCCACUAUGGAGAAUAUGAAAACAUUGCUGAAGGAGGUGAAAGCCAUUUCAGAAGAAGAGUUAUAUAUUAGCUUUUGGCAGUGACAGCGUUAUGGGCACGGACAUUCAGCCUUUCCAGUUGACUGCUUUGAAGGGGCAAUGUUCACGUGGAAGUAUACCUCCUAGUACGUUUGCUAAAAUAAAAUCAGCUUCAUUACCUAAUAACAUAAAUGACUUUGGGAGAA